GACCUCGGAUCAGGUAGGAAUACCCGCUGAACUUAAGCAUAUCAAUAAGCGGAGGAAAAGAAACCAACAGGGAUUACCUCAGUAACGGCGAGUGAAGCGGUAAUAGCUCAAAUUUGAAAUCUGGCUCUUUCAGGGUCCGAGUUGUAAUUUGUAGAGGAUGUUUCGGGCACGGUUACGGUUUAAAUUUCUUGGAACAGAAUGUCAAAGAGGGUGAGAGUCCCGUCUUGAACCGAUUACUUCGUCCAUGUGAAACUCCUUCGACGAGUCGAGUUGUUUGGGAGUGCAGCUCAAAAUGGGUGGUAAAUUUCAUCUAAAGCUAAAUAUUGGCCAGAGACCGAUAGCGCACAAGUAGAGUGAUCGAAAGAUGAAAAGCACUUUGAAAAGAGAGUUAAACAGUAUGUGAAAUUGUUGAAAGGGAAGCGCUUGUAAUCAG
rnacentral:rRNA from 1 species